ACUUUACAAUGCGGGCAACCGUGAUAAGGGAACCUCGAGUGCCUGUACAUGCAGGCUGUCUGGGUGUCUAAAACACACCCAAAGAAAGGGCCGGGCAAGACCGGUGCCAGCCGCCGCGGUAAUACCGGCGGCUCGAGUGGUGGCCACUUUUAUUGGGCUUAAAGCGUUCGUAGCUGGGUUGUUAAGUCUCUUGGGAAAUCUGGCAGCUUAACUGUCAGGCGUCUAAGAGAUACUGGCAAUCUAGGAACCGGGAGAGGUGAGGGGUACUUCGGGGGUAGGA
rnacentral:rRNA from 1 species